GGGAUAGAAUUCCAGGAGUAGCGGUGAAAUGCGUAGAUAUCUGGAGGAAUACCAAAGGCGAAGGCAGUCCCCUGGUCCGAUACUGACACUGGGGUACGAAAGCGUGGGGAGCAAACAGGAUUAGAUACCCUGGUAGUCCACGCCCUAAACGAUGUCGAUUAGCCAUUGGAAGGACCCCUUUUCCUUUCAGUGACGUAGCUAACGCGUUAAAUCGACCGCCUGGGAAGUACGACCGCAAGGUUAAAACUCAAAGGAAUUGACGGGGACCUGAACAAGCGGUGAAUGAUGUGGAUUAAUUCGAUGCUACGCGAAGAACCUUACCUACCUUUGACAUGGCCAAAGUUCUACCGAGAGGCGGAAGUACUCGUAAGAGGAUUGGCGCACAGGUGCUGCAUGGUUGUCGUCAGUUCGUGUCGUGAGAUGUUGGGUUCAGUCCCGCAACGAACGCAACCCUUAUCUUUAAUUGCUCCUAUUUUAACAGGCACUUUAAAGAAACUGCCAAUGAUAAGUUGGAGGAAGGUGGGGAUCACGUCAAGUCCGCAUGGCCUUUAUAGGUAGGGCUUCACAUGUCAUACAAUGGUUAGAACAAAGAGCUGCAAAUUCGUAAGAAGGAGCCAAUCUCACAAACCUAACCUCAGUUCGAAUUGCGGUCUGCAACUCGAGCGCAUGAAGCCGGAAUCGCUAGUAAUCGUGGAUCAGAAUGCCACGGUGAAUACGUUCUUAGGUCUU
rnacentral:rRNA from 1 species